UACGUAGGGAGCGAGCGUUAUCCGGAUUUAUUGGGCGUAAAGGGUGCGUAGGCUGAUAAACAGGUCUAAGGUCUAAGUCCGAAGCUUAACUUCGGUUCGCCUUAGAAACCAGUUAUCUAGAGUAUGGUAGAGGCAAGUGGAAUUUCUAGUGUAGCGGUAAAAUGCGUAGAUAUUAGAAGGAACACCAGUGGCGAAGGCGACUUGCUGGACCAUAACUGACGCUGAGGCACGAAAGCGUGGGGAGCAAAUAGG
rnacentral:rRNA from 1 species